CCGGGCUCGGCUCACCCUCCCCGGAUGCCGCUCCUCCUCCAUCCCCAGAAGUUUCAGCCACUGAGAUUCCCCUUGUCCCGGAGGCUGGAGGGGAAGACCCAGGCGGCUGCGCUUUGGAGGCUGGACCAUCGUGGGGCUUGUCUGUGCCCACUUUUCCCCCAUUCAAGAGUUACCACUGCCAGGCGCAGUUGCUCAGGCCUGCAAACCCAGCACUUUGGGAUGGCAAGACAGGAGGAUCGCUUGAGCCCAGGAGCUUGAGAACAGCCUGGACAACAUGAGCCAGCCAGGCCCCUGGGCCUGGAGCAUCCACAGGAGGAAAGUACAAGAACCCUGGCACCCUGCCAAGCAGCAGGGAUUCUUCAGACACCCAAGGGCUGGUUUGCUGGGAAGGACUCAUGUGACCAGAAGGGGAAACUGAGGCACUGCUGAGCACCAACAGUCCUGGAGAGCUUUAAGAAUGGUUGCCAUCUGAGGCCAGGCAUGGUGGUUUAUGCCUGUAAUCCCAGCACUUUGGGAGGCCAAGGCAGGCAAAUCACUUGAGGUCAGGAGUUCGAGGCUGUCAGGCCUCUGAGCCCAAGCUAAGCCAUCAUAUCCCCUGUGACCUGCAUAUACAUCCAGAUGGCCUGAAGCAACUGAAGAUCCACAAAAGAAGUGAAAAUAGCCAGUUCCUCCUUAACUGAUGACAUCCCACCAUCGUGAUUUGUUCCUGCCCAACCCUAACUGUUCAACUGACUUUGUGACAAUAUACCCUCCCCGCCCUUGCAAUAAUGUACUUUGUGAUAUUCCCCCGCCCUUAUGAAUGUACUUUGUAGGAUACACCCUCCCCACCCUUGAGAAGGUAGAUUGUAAUAUUCUCCCCACCCAACUUGAGAAUGUACUUUGUAUGAUCCACCCCCUGCCUGCAAAAAAAUUGCUCCUGGCUGGGC
ensembl:lncRNA LINC01842 long intergenic non-protein coding RNA 1842